rnacentral:tRNA from 1 species
GCCUCCUGUAGGUCAGUGGUAGAGCGCUCUACUUAUUCUUAGGAGUAUUCUUAGGAGAGGGCCACGGUUCGAAUCCGCGCAGGGGCA